rnacentral:rRNA from 1 species
CGUGUAGGCGGCCUAUUAAGUCAGAUGUGAAAGCCCUCGGCUCAACCGAGGAACUGCAUUUGAAACUGGUAGGCUUGAGUACGGGAGAGGAGAGUGGAAUUCCCGGUGUAGAGGUGAAAUUCGUAGAUAUCGGGAAGAACACCGGUGGCGAAGGCGGCUCUCUGGACCGAUACUGACGCUGAGACGCGAAAGCGUGGGGAGCAAACAGGAUUAGAUACCCUGGUAGUCC